GAUGAAGAACGCAGCGAAAUGCGAUACUUGGUGUGAAUUGCAGAAUCCCGUGAACCAUCGAGUCUUUGAACGCAAGUUGCGCCUCAAGCCAUUAGGUUGAGGGCACGUCUGCCUGGGCGUCACAUAUCGUUGCCUGAUGCCAGUUUCCUCGUGAUGGGUGACUGUGCAGGGCGAAUGAUGGCUUCCCGUGAGCAUUGUUGCCUCAUGGUUGGUUGAAAAUUGAGUCCUUGGUAGGGAGCGCCGUGAUAGAUGGUGGUUGAGUGACGAACGAGACCCAAUCAUGUGAGACCCCUACCGAAUUUGGCCUUCAUGACCCACAUGCGUCUUUGGAACGCUCAUGACGAGACCUCAGGUCAGGCGGGGCUACCCGCUGAGUUUAAGCAUAUCAAUAACGGAGGA
rnacentral:misc_RNA from 1 species